rfam:Populus trichocarpa isolate Nisqually-1 chromosome 12, whole genome shotgun sequence.
GAGCAAUGAUGAAAGCCGAGCCUUGGCGAUGGUAGGGUCCAUCGCGAACAUCUGAUCACCAGGUGACAUGUGGCUCUGCUGAGCUC